rnacentral:rRNA from 1 species
AUUGAACGCUGGCGGCAGGCCUAACACAUGCAAGUCGAGCGGAUGAAGGGAGCUUGCUCCUGGAUUCAGCGGCGGACGGGUGAGUAAUGCCUAGGAAUCUGCCUGGUAGUGGGGGAUAACGUCCGGAAACGGGCGCUAAUACCGCAUACGUCCUGAGGGAGAAAGUGGGGGAUCUUCGGACCUCACGCUAUCAGAUGAGCCUAGGUCGGAUUAGCUAGUUGGUGGGGUAAAGGCCUACCAAGGCGACGAUCCGUAACUGGUCUGAGGGGAUGAUCAGGCACAGUGGAACUGAGACACGGUCCAGGCACCGACGGGAGGCAGCAGUGGGGAAUAUUGGAAACUGGGCGAAAGCCUGAACCAGCCAUGCAGCGUGUGUGAAGCAGGUCUGCGGAUUGUAAAGCACUUUAAGUUGGGAGGAAGGGCAGUAAGUUAAUACCUGGCUGUUUUGACGUUACCAACAGAAUAAGCACCGGCUAACUUCGU